GGUGAGAUGGCCGAGUGGUUAUGGCGCUGCGUUCAGGAAAACUCUGGACUCUUGAUACAGUGUUAUGUUGUGUCAUUAGAAAUUCGCAGUGGAGCAAUCCGCGUGGGUUCGAGUCCCACUCUCAUCA